rnacentral:rRNA from 1 species
ACUCCUACGGGAGGCAGCAGUGGGCCCUUUUAAGCAAUGGACGAAAGUCUGACGGAGCAACGCCGCGUGUAUUACGAAGGCCUUCGGGUUGUAAAGUACUGUCUUCAGGGACGAAUGGUAUCGAUGUGAAUAAUGUGGAUACAUGACGGUACCUGAGGAGGAAGCCCCGGCUAACUACGUGCCAGCAGCCGCGGUAAUACGUAGGGGGCAAGCGUUGUCCGGAAUCAUUGGGCGUAAAGGGCGCGUAGGCGGAUACUUAAGUCUGGUGUGAAAACCUAG